rfam:Colinus virginianus strain Texas jcf7180006225932, whole genome shotgun sequence.
AGAAAGAGGUUCUGAGGAUUUAGGUUCUUAGCAUGUGUGCUCGGUCAUGGAGGGUGACCUUCCCCGAUAGAAAUGGUAUGGUUCAUUGGUCAAGGAUAUACAGUAGCUGCACUCUCCUGCUAGAACCUCCAAACAAGUUCAAAGUCCAUUUGUAGGGGAACAUAGGGUAGACAAGUUUCCAAGACUGCAGACACAACCAAGUGAGGCACUACAUAGGGCAGUCUGUUUUGAAGGU